GACGAACGCUGGCGGCGUGCCUAAUACAUGCAAGUAGAACGCACAGUUUAUACCGUAGCUUGCUACACCAUAGACUGUGAGUUGCGAACGGGUGAGUAACGCGUAGGUAACCUGCCUGGUAGCGGGGGAUAACUAUUGGAAACGAUAGCUAGUACCGCAUAAUAUUAAUUAUUGCAUGAUAAUUAAUUGAAAGGUGCAAUUGCACCACUACCAGAUGGACCUGCGUUGUAUUAGCUAGUAGGUGAGGUAACGGCUCACCUAGGCGACGAUACAUAGCCGACCUGAGAGGGUGAUCGGCCACACUGGGACUGAGACACGGCCCAGACUCCUACGGGAGGCAGCAGUAGGGAAUCUUCGGCAAUGGACGAAAGUCUGACCGAGCAACGCCGCGUGAGUGAAGAAGGUUUUCGGAUCGUAAAGCUCUGUUGUAAGAGAAGAACGGGUGUGAGAGUGGAAAGUUCACACUGUGACGGUAUCUUACCAGAAAGGGACGGCUAACUACGUG
rnacentral:rRNA from 1 species